rnacentral:rRNA from 1 species
AUGGAGCAGGCCAUGCUCUACCUCCGCCUGGCUGGUGCCGACCUCGCCGCCGCUGUCCAGCUCGGCGAGAACCAGCAGUUCGCUCCGGAGGACCGUCCCGCCACUGGUUCCCCUGAUCUCUGCUGCGGCAGGACCCAAUUUGCUCUCAAAGUAGCCGCAUUCAUAUCAGGGCACCCCGUGCCAGACGAUCUGGUGCGGCUCGCAAAGUUUCUUGUCCCAUUAAAAGAUCACACUGUUCUCGCUGCUGUGCUGAAGAAGGGGGUCUCUCUCAGUGUCAGCGACAUCAAUGGCAUCCUAAAUUUCCUUCGGUUGCAACACUAUGCAGCCUCCCCUGCCGUCCAAGUCACAUUCCAAAGCCGCCCUUAUUCCACUGGUAUGGAUUUAUCUGGACUGGAAUUAGGAGGCCUGUUACUAGAUUCAGAUAAGCGCCCUGGCCACUACUUCUGUCCAUUGGGUGAAAACUAUGUCGCCGACGUAGUUGUCUCACGCUCUGAUGGACAUAUUUCGAGCAUCUGUGACUUGAGGGCUCCUGAAACGAUGAAGAAAAUGUUACUGGACUCUUUGAAUGCUGCUGCCACCACUAUUGUCAAGUACACUCCUCAACACAUAGGAAGGAAUCUUAUUGCUGCACCUUCCACCACUGCGUGCCAGUGUGAGCACACCAGGUAUCUGAAGAUGUGCCUCACCGAUACCAUCCACGCUCUUUAUAUCAAGGCAGUGUCUUUGCUGCCGCACAAUGCGCUCCACAAGCAUCUCCGUGGUAUCCUUGUUGCUGGGCAUUGCUAUGGCCCGUUGGACCCUGUGUCUAACAUAAUUCGCAAUGCCAUAUGGUACGACAGUGUAUACCCUCUGCUGGAGAUAGACACCGUAACUGAGCCGGACAUUCUUGACAGCCAAUCUAUGCUUCGCAUGGAGGCCCGCUCCCUUGAUAGCCUUCUGGCCAUGAUCUGCACAGCCAGUGGUUUUUCAGAGCACAUGGCCCUGGAAUACCUUUGCUACAAGCAAUGUGACCUAUCUGUGGUGUUACAAAGGGCAACCAAGGAGGUGUGCUAUAAAGCCUAUGUUGCUGCAGGCCAAGCUGGAAAGCACCCCUACCAUUUGGAGCUUGCAUCAUUUCUUACCUCCAUGCCACCCCAAGACACCCUGCUGACUGGUGAAGCAACUGGAAAAGGCUAUGUCAUUUCUGAUGCUGUUCUGGAGCAAGUGUACAAAAUAAUGGAAGGUCAAAGCCCAUCUACUGCACCAUCAGAUAUUCAACCUAGGCUAUGCCCACAGGCCUGGAUGAUGCUGGCAUCUAGGAAGGACGAAUUCGCGCAGAAGCAGAAGUUCCUUGGUCAAAUUUUAGAGCAAUUGCUGCUUGACUACUCGAAUCAGCAUCCUUGGGAACCUGUUCCGAGACUUGAUGUCAUAUGUGGUGUGAAGAAAGGCGACCACGGGCAUUCAAAAUUCUACCAUGUUAAUUUCUUGGUGUAUUAUGAUGAUGUUUCUUCCGCACGUAUGCUCUUCUUCGCUGAAGUUUGGGAGUCAAGCUUUCAGGCCAAACGAUCGGGACCUAACACAUCUGUGAGUUUGGUUACUCAACCAUGCACUAGAAAAAGUCGCCAGGUUGAAUCUGGUGUGCAGUUCGUCAAGGUUUAUAGUAAAUCUAGUCGAAAGCAAUCAAAAACUUCAUUUUGUUGCCCACUACCUCAUUACAGUCCAGAUCAUCCAUACCUUGGGCGUUGCGAUGUGUGUGAGCCUAUUUCAAGCAAAAUUGCGCACCCACCAUCUGGGAACCAUAUUGGUGCAAACUACAAGGGGCUUGGGGAACUCUUGGAAUAUCUGAAUGUGCGUCAUUAUAAUCCUUCUGCUGCGGAUGCCAUAACAGAGUCAGAUUUUGUGUACUUUGAUUGCCUUAGGGACGCCAAAAUUGCCGAAGUUCUCAGUGACAUGUGCUCUUUGGAGGAGAAGAAAUUGAUCAUCCGCUAG